rnacentral:rRNA from 1 species
AUGAGCUGGAACUUGAGAGGUCUAAAGACACCGGCGAGGCGCUCGGUCAUCCGUGACACUGCACAAGCACACAAGCUGGCGAUCCUUUGCAUACAGGAAACCAAGAUCGACUGUUGGUCCACCUGCUUAGCAAGAGAAAUAGCAGGCGCAUGACUAGACCAAUGUAUAGUUCUUCCCGCCAUAGGAACGAUGGGAGGGGCGGUCAUCUUCUGUAACUCUAGCAUGCUAUCAGUGCAGUCUCACUCGAUAGGGAAAUUCUCUAUCACAGCAAAGGUGCAGAUUGGAUAAACAGGCAAAGAUUUCUGGCUAACCAUGGUUUACGGGCCCUCGGAUGAGGAUAGGAAAGAUGAUUUCCUCGCAGAAAUUGCUAGAGUUGCCCCUACGCCUGGACAAGCGUGGCUUAUCAACGGCGAUUUCAACAUUAUCCACGAGGCUAGAGACAAGAACAACAACAACAUCAACCGUAGGAUCAUGGGUAAAUUUAGAACGGCAAUCGACACGGGUGGCCUACGCGAGAUCUGA